rnacentral:rRNA from 1 species
AUACGGAGGGUGCAAGCGUUGUUCGGAAUUACUGGGCGUAAAGCGCGUGUAGGCGGCCUUGCAAGUCAGAUGUGAAAGCCCUCGGCUUAACCGGGGAAGUGCAUCUGAAACUGCUUGGCUUGAGUACGGGAGAGGGAGGCGGAAUUCCCAGUGUAGAGGUGAAAUUCGUAGAUAUUGGGAGGAACACCGGUGGCGAAAGCGGCCUCCUGGACCGAUACUGACGCUGAGACGCGAGAGCGUGGGGAGCAAACAGGAUUAGAUACCCUGGUAGUCCACGCUGUAAACGAUGGGCACUAGGUGUGGGGGGUAUCCACUCCUCCCGUGCCGAAGCUAACGCAUUAAGUGCCCCGCCUGGGGAGUACGGCCGCAAGGUUAAA